GUCGAGCGCCCACUUCGGUGGGAGCGGCAGACGGGUGAGUAACGCGUGGGAACCUACCUAGUAGUACGGAAUAGCCCUGGGAAACUGGGUGUAAUACCGUAUAAGCCCCUUGGGGGAAAGAUUUAUCGCUAUUAGAUGGGCCCGCGUUGGAUUAGCUAGUUGGUGAGGUAAUGGCUCACCAAGGCGACGAUCUAUAGCUGGUCUGAGAGGAUGAUCAGCCACACUGGGACUGAGACACGGCCCAGACUCCUACGGGAGGCAGCAGUGGGGAAUAUUGGACAAUGGGCGAAAGCCUGAUCCAGCCAUGCCGCGUGAGUGAUGAAGGCCUUAGGGUUGUAAAGCUCUUUCGCUAGAGAAGAUAAUGACGGUAUCUAGUAAAGAAGCCCCGGCUAACUUCGUGCCAGCAGCCGCGGUAAUACGAAGGGGGCUAGCGUUGUUCGGAUUUACUGGGCGUAAAGCGCACGUAGGCGGAUUGACAAGUUAGGGGUGAAAUCCCGAGGCUCAACCUCGGAACUGCCUUUAAAACUGUCAGUCUAGAGACCGGAAGAGGUAAGUGGAAUUCCUAGUGUAGAGGUGGAAUUCGUAGAUAUUAGGAAGAACACCAGUGGCGAAGGCGGCUUACUGGUCCGGUACUGACGCUGAGGUGCGAAAGCGUGGGGAGCGAACAGGAUUAGAUACCCUGGUAGUCCACGCCGUAAACGAUGGAAGCUAGCCGUUGGGGGAUUUAUCCCGCAGUAGCGCAGCUAACGCAUUAAGCUUCCCGCCUGGGGAGUACGGUCGCAAGAUUAAAACUCAAAGGAAUUGACGGGGGCCCGC
rnacentral:rRNA from 1 species